CUCUGGGGCAGCUGUGGGGUGCUUGUGCUGCUAGCACAUGAAAUACAUUGGGAGAACAGGUCCCUUUGGCCCCAUUUCCUUGCUGGUUGAAGUGAACUGAACUACAAACAUGCUUUCUCAAACCUCAGAAAAGGUAUCCACCUGUCUGCAGAUUUGGCCUGCGUUACUCCUGCAUCUGAGCCUCCUGCAAGCCUGCUUUGAGAAUGCCUACUGGUUUUGCUGGCACAAGAGGAGGAAUAGUCCAUUCCCAGACAACAGCCAUCGCUUGCUGCUGCAACACAGAGGAGAGGUGUGCUGCCUUGCUGACCUUAGCCCCAGGAUGAAACCUGUCUGCACCCUGCAACAGCAAAGAACAGCAGAAUAGAAAAUGUUUCCCUCAACUUUAAAAUGAAGGAACUGCUUUCAAAACAACCUUAAAAUGCAGAAGCAAAGUCCUACACUUCCUCUCCUCCCUGAGCUUCUCCUUGCACCAGCAACACCAAAGCAGAACCCUGCACGUGGCACAAGGAAGGCAAGCAGCCCUGCUCCAGCUGUUGGGGAUAUGCAGAUGUGCAUUGCAACCUUGGUUUGUACGCUUAGCUGGGACAACAGGAUGCAACAACGGGUUACAGAAAGGUAAGCUGCCUGCUUGAGGGAUGUUAUUUAAAGCUUAUCUUAAUACUGUGAUGCAGGAGAGGUAAGAGGCUACAGUAGCACCUACUCAAAAAAGCAGCUUUUCUUUUUCCUUGAGUUCUAUGAUGGCAAAGUGACAGCGACUUAUCUCAACAGGACAGCAUACAAAUUUAUUGAAAAACAAACCAAAACUACUAUUUCUGCCUGUGGCAAAAAUAAAGCAAGUUUUCAGUUCAGAUUUGAAUACUUGCUGAAAAGUUUAACUAUUUUUUUUUUCUUAACAAUUCUCCUGGUUGCUAAGAACAAAGGAAGAGAGAUAUUUGGAUUAAAAUAAAAAGAAAACCAACCUGCGUUUUUCACCAUAAUGAAACAGCAAAUGAGGCUCGUUUGUGGCAAAUGCAUGAAGUAUCUGUAGGAAGGAAGUCAACACUGAAAAAGUUGACAAGCAAACACUGGCUGAGCAAAAGCCACGUCAGGCAAACCAAGCCAAGGCAGGGAGA